CAGUAGCCACGGUAAUACGAGGGGGGCAAGCGUUGUUCGGAAUUAUUGGGCGUAAAGGGUGCGUAGGCGGUUUCGUAAGUCUUAUGUGAAAUCUAUGGGCUCAACCCAUAGUCUGCAUGGGAAACUGCGAGGCUUGAGGAUGGGAGAGGUGAGUGGAAUUUCCGGUGUAGCGGUGAAAUGCGUAGAUAUCGGAAGGAACACCUGUGGCGAAAGCGGCUCACUGGACCAUUUCUGACGCUGAUGCACGAAGCUAGGGGAGCAAACAGGAUUAGAUACCCCCGUAGUCCCUGUCUCGUAUACA
rnacentral:rRNA from 1 species